AAAUUUGGAAAGAUAUUUCAGAAUAUUAUCAUGUGGGGUCCUUACGGGAUGUUCUUAAAAAAUUGUUCAGAAUGGAAUAUUACUGCUUGUGAUUUAUCUUCUACAUACAGAAUCCCGCCGAAAGAGAGAUGGAAUGAAACCAUUCGGAACGACAAAUUGAUGGCCUGGGGUGAUGGCGGAAUUGCUGAUCCACGCUUGGCUUCAGUGCAGUACCCUCAUCAUUUACAAACACAUUUAUGGAAAAUUGCUGCUGCAACUAAACCUGUAAUUUUGUCUAAUGGCUCUAUUUCUGGGACUAGUCAAUCUGCUGCUUCUUAUAAUUUUACUGUAUUUAAAGAAUAUAAUAUAACCACAUGUGUGCCCAUGCCAUACCUGUUCUUAAUUGGAAAUGUUACUUUUGAUGAGGGAAUUUUAUGCUUUAAUUGUAAAUUGUAUACCUGUAUUAAUACAUCUGUUUCUCUUCCUCCUGGUUAUUCCAUUGUGCUGUUACAACAGCGCUCUCACAUUUGGCUUCCUGUAAAUUUACAAAGACCAUGGUCCCAAGAUCCUGUAAAUACUUUGGUUCUGGAAUUUUUUAGACAAUUGUUAAAAUGUACUAAACAGUUUGUGGGAGUUGUUGUUGCUGUAAUUCUAAGUCUUAUUGCAGUGACUACAGUUGCUACAGUUUCAGGGAUAGCUUUACAUACUUCUUUACAAACAAAACAGUUUGUUGAGGAAUGGCAUAAAGAUUCGCAUGAGUUAUGGCUAUCCCAGACUCAAAUUGAUUCUAGAGUUCAAACUCAAAUAGAUAUUUUAAAACAGACAGUUAAUUGGUUAGGAAAAAAGAUACUCACUUUAGAACAAGAAAUUAGAUUAAAAUGUGACUGGAAUUCAACUUCUUUCUGUAUAACUAAUGUACAAUAUAAUCAAAGCUUACACGAAUGGAGUAUCAUACAAAAUUAUCUCAAUGGUAAUGAAACAGCUCAAUUAAUGAUCGAUUCUUUACAAAAGGAUAUAUUUGAAAUUUUUGGAAAAGGGUUUCAACAUGAUGAUGCUGCACAAAUAGCUGAAUUGUUUUUAAAACAGAGGGAUUAGAUCCCAAAGGAAUUGCUCAAAGUCUUACCCAUACGGCUGGAGGAGUGGGAAUAGUGUUAUGCUUAGUUAUUAUCCUGUUUAUAAUUAUAUAUUGUAUGUGCAUAAGACCAUCUCAAAACGCUAUAUUAACUUUGUGGAAAGCUGUUUUAGAAAAGCAAAAGAAAAAAGAAGGAAUUGUUGGGGUUUAAGUGUGCAGAGUUUAGCUCCCUCAGGCCUGACAUUUUGCAAGAGUGUGGCUGUGAUUUAGGUCAGCUGAGGCAAACCUCAGCUAGGAGGAGGAAAAGUUCUCUUCCCCUUAUCGCAAGUCACAAGUUCUGCAUGGUUUGGCCAAGAGGAAGAAGCUUCCUGCAUACUUAUCCUGGGAACAGUACAUUCUGAAGAAACAAAUGCAUCCUCAGAGGAGUUGAUAAUGUCUACAAAGAACUUUAGGAGGGUACUUAUCAAACAAACAGGAACAAUUUGAAUCUAGCUCUGUGUAUCCGCUGAGGCAUGAUAUUUGGACAAUGUGGGUAAAGUGUUAUUGAAGAAUUGCUUGCUUUGUUAGAAGAAGUGUAUAAAAGGAACUUGCAAAUAAACUUCAGCAUGCAGUUGCGAUUGCUGCCUUGGCUCUGCAUCCCCUGUGUCCUGGUUAUUUAGCGACCCUUACCCAGGGACCCGAAUGCUCUAGACGUUCACAGAUAAGGAAGUCUUUUGUAUGAUAAAGUAAACAUAUUGUAGAGUGUCUAAGUAUAUUACACAAAGUUUGUGGAGCAUAUAUCUCAAAAGUUUGAGAUAUGUAUGAGUAAGUUGGCUAUAAUUAGCACAAUCAGCUAAAGUUAUUUAAAGUUUUUAAGGUUUUUUUUUUUAAGGUCAAAUAUUAAUGUACUGAUAUAAACCAGAAUUUAAUUCUCUAUGUGUUGAAGUAAUAAGGGCUUUGUAAAAUAAUCUGUUCUUAUCCACCAAGAUAAUUUCUUCUAUUAGUUUUCAUUAUUUAUGGGAACUAAUCUUAAAGGAUUAAGGUUUGUCCAACUCUGGUUAAACAAACAACUGUCAUUUAGAUUAUAACACUGCACUAUUUUUUUUUUAAGAAAACUAUAAAUUUUUCUUAAGUUUAAACUUGGUUAAUAUAAAUAUACCAGUGUAAUUGUAAUGCUGUUACUGGUUUCUUUGUAUAUUAGAUGCAUUCAUGUCCUCCAAAUAUACAAUUCUUUAAAAUAAAAGUUUUAAGAGCAUUUUACCAAGCUGAUGUUCUCCAAACUAAAGUUUUCUGUAGCAGCAGUCUCUUUCAGACUAACAUAAAAAGAACAAAUUUAGUUAGGAAUUUAAUAUUUUGUAAUUGGAUAAAAGUAACCUGUCAUCAAUAAGUUACAUACAACAUUUUGUGUUACUUUUACAGUGGGAUGGGAACUUGAAUGCAUUUUUGAAAGGUAAUGAGGAGAGUCUAUUUACAGGUUGACAAUAUGGGAUAUGAAGACAUUUUGUCACUUUCCCGCAAAAGGGACAAAAACUCUCUUAGCUUGUUUGAUUUAUGUUUCAAAUGUAAUGUUGGAUUAUGUUGACUAAUAUUCAUGUAGACUCAGGAAACAAUAUAUGAAAACUUUAUAAAAUAAUAUUUUAAAAAGAGGUAAAGAUCAGCUUCAGAAAUAAAGCAACUUACCUAAAGAUUUGUCAAAAGGCCACCUCAUCUGAGUUAAAACUGCUUCUUACCUUAUUCCAUGUUAGGACAACCACUUAAGUUCAUAAGAUGAGCUUUUUGUUAUUGUUGUUUUUGUUGUUGUUAUAAAGAUUACUGUGAUCUAAAAAUAAAUAGGGAAUAUAAUGUGUAACUAAAUAAAGGCUUGGGAUUAUAAAAAUUA
rnacentral:lncRNA from 1 species